CUCUCAAACUUCCUGGCUUUCAGAGCUGACCUCUUCAUCGUCAGUGUACUCUUUGGUGAUGAUCAACACUUUCUGGGUUUUUGUGGUGGCCGGCGGGCUGCAGAACGACACAAACAGUUAGUCUCUAUAACAAUACUUUUUUUUCUUUUAACCUUUCAUUUUACAUUUUAUAUACAUACCACUUUAAGGUUGUUUCUUCCCCAAUCGUAACCCUUCUACAGAAAGUCUGCUGAGCAUUCACACAUCUCCAUUUCUUUUUAUUAGUUGCAAGAUAUAUGAUUUGUAUGUUAUUUGUGACUCGGACACCAUGUUGAUUGUCAUUGUGGUUAUUAUGUAUUAGUUUAUUUGUUUUAUAAAAAUGAAAAAAAUGGUUAACCCUUUUUUCUUGGUAAAUAAUCAUAAUUUGAAUGAACUACCAUUUGUGUCACACAAAUUAGAUGUAUUAAUCUGUCUCCCAGUAUGGGCCGGUGCAUUCACCUGAACAACUCUCCGUCCAACAGCCUCCUGUACUCGGAGAUCUCCAUCUCCAGCCGGGUCUUGGUGUCCAGCAGGACCUGGUACUCGUGUCCCUGUCUUUCUAGGUCGGACCUGAGCUGAGCUAGCUGGCCCUCAAGGCCCAACACCUUGUUCUGGUAGUCUCCCAUCAUGUUGGAGUAGCGGUUCUGUGUGUCACAGAGGGUCCCUUCCAGAGACGCUUUCUGAAGGAGAAGAAAGAAUGUGAGGAUUCAAAGAUUCAUAGGCUUUAUUGUCAUAUGUGGAAUAGCAAUUGAAUAAGAUACAACCGAAUGCCAUACUAUGUAUGAUGCUAAAAUAUAUUUUAAUUAAGAUUGAAUCCACCUUUAUGAAUUCCCAAAUGGGAAAUGUGUUCUUCAUUCUGGUGUUAUUUUACAAUUGCACGCAGGCAAACUGGCCCUUCUCCAGCUACCAGUCCACACUCCAUAUUUCUGGUCUGAUCUGCACCAAUUCCAUUCCCAAGCCAAGUCCCUUCAGACUGAGCUACUGCUGCCCAAUUUUGAUGCCAAAACUUUUGUUUUUGAGUAAAAUGUGUAUUUCAGGACUUGUAUUUGUGACCACUCUAUUAUUGGUAUUUCUCCUGAAGUACUGUAAGAGACCUGAUUACUUCUUCCUCCAUUGAUUGAAUGCUACAGUAUACCCACCAUGCUGAGCUGUGCUUGGAGCUCAAUCUCCAGGCCCUGCAGCGUGCGUUUAACCUCUGUUAUCUCCGAGCGAGAGGACUGGAGAGUCUCUGUGCUCACUGCCACCUCCUUAUUGAGUUCUUCAGACUGCAAAACAACAAGAAAACAUUGAAAAGUACAUUAGAAAUCAGAUCUGCUUAUAAAUCAAACUGAAGAUGACACUGUCACUUUCAAUUCACAAACCUUUAUUGCUCUCUGUACCUCUGGACGUUUUUAUCUUUGAAAGUCGAAAUCAUGACAUGGUAGACUACCAUUUUUACCCAACAUCUCAUAUUUGUUCCUGAUAUAUCAUAUUGAUUUUAAUAGUCUUUCAUUGCAUUAAAAUGCCUUUAUUAUAGAGACAGAAAGAUAGACUGGACUGCUAUAGUUUUUUUGUGAAGUCUAGUCUAAAUGCGGAAAAACACAAUCUUGCUAGAAAUAAUCCUGUUUGAGGAAGAUGAUUUCAGAAGUCAUUAAUGAAAAGUCACAAAAGGGUUUUUCAUCAGAUGGUUGACUUUGCUCACCUUGGCCUGAAACCAGACAUCCAGAUCUCUCCGGUUCUUGUUUGCCACGGUCUCGUAAUGUUCUCUGAUUUCACCCAUAACAGCAGACAGGUCCUGCUGCGGUGCGGCAUCCACCUCCACGUUCACCUGACCCCCCACCUGGGAGCCCAUGGCCAACAGGUCCUGCAAGAGAACAGUUCCAAGACAAAAUGAAGUCGAUAAUAAAGAAUAGGUGUUAGUUUGUUCAUCAGAAUACAAAUUUGAGUGUUUGCUGCAUGCUUUUCUCUUUUUCAUGUCAUUUUUAAAUGAUUCUCCUUGUAAUUGCUUCAGACUUAGGAUUUGUCAUAUGUUGGGACAUUACCAGCACCCAGUAAUACAGAUUGGAUUUAUUCACAGUCCUUUUCUGAGAUACUGGUAUGUUGAAAAUAACUAAAUUCCUUUCAUUUUCAAUAUUUUACCUCUUUUAAAAUCCAGCUGAUUUAAAUCUUAUUGAGUUUGCAGGUUGUCGCCUACCUCCUUGUGGUUCUUCUUCAGCUGGAUGAGUUCAUCCCGCAGAGACUCGAUAUUCAUCUCCAGAUCCGAUCUGCCCAGUGUCAGCUCGUCCAGGAGCCUCCUCAGCCCGCCGAUGUCCCCCUCCACCGACUGACGUAUGCCCAGCUCGUUCUCAUACCUGCAACACACCAACCAUUCCAUCAGCUACUCCACCCGAAACAAACCCAGAGAAAUCACAGCAAAUUCUCAUUUCGGUACAUACUAUAGCGCAUCAGUACUUGAUAAGGCUGCACACCUGAGGGUCCUAACGUUGUCAGGGAGGAGGAAUCUCUGAGCUGAACAAGAUUCAUUUUCACAUGAUCUCAUUCUUUAUUGUGGCUCUGCUUUGGGAUCAGGGUUGAACAUGAGACAGCAUCCAAUCCUGCAAUCUACCUACACUGAGGCAACUGUUUGCAAUUCUGUUGGUAAUAUGAAUGCUUUAAGAUCUCUUGGAAUUCUCAAGAAAAGAAAGAAACAUCUUAUCCUGUGGACUGUUCAAAUCAAGCAAUGAAUCAAGUAAACUAAAUAACUACCAUCUGGGAGGAGUCCAGAUUUUAAAACAAUUGUAUUGCUCCUGCAAUAAAAACAUAAAAUAUGAAAACCAA